AAAGCGCCUGCCUUGCACGCAGGAGGUCAACGGUUCGAUCCCGUUUGGCUCCA
rnacentral:tRNA from 1 species